rnacentral:lncRNA from 1 species
AGACUACUGACUUGGACCAGCAGGGGAAUGGCUGUGACAAUAAAUAAGAUUGGGAAAACAAGAAGGUGAGCAAAUUUAGAGGAGAAAAUGAAUUUCAUUUUUGGCAUGGUGUGGAAGGCUCGGGAGAGAGGUCUAGGCACCAGAUGUCAACGUGAGGUGAAAUGGAUAUAGCUGAAGUCAAGGGUGUGGUGAGGUUUUGCAGGGAGAGCAGGGACCUCCAGCAAGGCCAGUGCAUAAGGGAGAAUAGAGAAAAAAAGAACCAGAAAAAGACAAGGAGAGGCCAGAGAGGUGUGGAAAGAACCAGGGAAGACAGUUAUUCACAACAAACAAAAGAGGGCAGAGUUUUAGAGAAGGAACUGAGCAGUUUGGGGCUCCAGGUGGGGCAGGAGUGGGUGGCCACGGUUGAGGGGCAGUGGCCUUCAAAUUGGUCUGGGUAGGUUCUAAUGGGUCAGAUUGGUCAGUCCUUUCCAGGACACUGAAGGCUGCAGAGGUGUGACUGGAUGCUGGUGGAGGGAUGCAUGGCGGGGAAGCUGAGUCAGAUCCUGAAAUCCUCCAAGCAUGCGCCUGAAAUGACCAAGGGAAAUGAAGGCGGAGGCUGCUGUCGCCUGGUGGCCUGGGAAGGGCCAAGAGCCAGGGAGCUGGAGGGAGGAGAGAACGUGCGACCUCAGCACGGAGCACUGUAGGGGAGGCGGGGCUGGAGGGAGAUGGCGCCGCGCUCCCGGAUGAACAGAGAAAGCGACAGGUCGUUGUCAUGGCGACAUGUUGUUUAGCAUGAGAACAGGAUGAUGAUAAAGCCAGAGGCUCUUCAGAGGCGCCAUCUUGGAUUUCGCCAGCUUCAGCUGGUUUCGUCCUAAGAAGGAACUUCGAAACACAGGCAUUCUUUUUCCUGAAAAUAAGCAGAGUUACAGCUGAGUAGGAAUUUAGCUCUGUCCCAUAUGCUAUCGCAUUGGGCAGCAAAAGCAGGGUGGGGUCCAGCGAAAUCAGCAGGCACUGCAAUGAGUAACAUACCCAGCCACGUUUAUGCAGCAUUUUUACGAAAAUGAAACCAUACUACCUGUAAAGGAAGAUAUGCUAACAAACAACAAAACUGGCAGGAACCAAGAUUCCUACUGACACUACCCUUAGUUUUAAUUUUCCCUGACAACAAAUGAGGUUAACAGAGCAUAAUUAUCUACCGUGACCCCUUCAAAAAGACAGGCUGUAUACAUUUGCACUAAGAGAAGAAAUCGUGUAAUGUCAGCAAAUUUCCCCCACUUAAAGCUUCUCUAUUUAAAAAGCUUCACGCACACAUGCACGCAUAUGUCUUCAAGAUGACCACAAUUUAUUUUGCAGUCAUUCUUUGCACCAGUUCCCAAUUUUUCCCACUAGCUUGCAAGCUCCGUGACUCGAGGAGACCGGGGGAUCAGAGUUUGUUUUUGCGGAGAAGUGAGUCCUUUAUGCCCCAAAUAGUGACUGACAUAGAGAAGGUACUCAGUAAACACUUUUUAAAGGAAUGCCUGCCUGACUGAAGCUUAAUGAUGUGAGGCUUCUAGUGGGAUACCCUACCUUGUUUUAACCUGAAGUGACUCUUCCUUAGCUAAGAGAGCCAGACGGACUCCAUCGUGACUCCUUCACUCGCAGCCCCUUACCCACCCCCUUCCUCAAGGACUUAACUUGUGCAAGCUGACUCCCAGCACAUCAAGAAUGCAAUUAACUGAUAAGAUACUGUGGCAAGCUAUAUCCGCAGUUCCCAGGAAUUCGCCCGGUUAAUAGCACCCAGAGCCCCUGCGUUUGUGUCCGGUUGAUAACGCCCAAAGCCCGGCGUCCAUCACCUUAGGAUAGACUUAAAGCCUCUGCACCUGGAACUGUUUACUUUCCUGUAACCGUUUAUCCUUUUAACUUUUUGCCUACUUUACUUCUGUAAGAUUGUUUCAACUAGACUCCCCCUCUCCCCUGUCUAAACCAAAGUAUAAAAGAAAAUCUAGCUCCUUCUUCGGGGCCAAGAGAAUUUCGAGCGCUAGCUGUCUCUCGGCUGCCGGCUAAUAAAGGACUCCUGAAUUCGUCUCAGAGUGUGGCGUUUCUCUGUAACUCGCUCGGUUACAACACUAGGUUAAUCUUUUUCCUUUAACUGUUUGUUUAAAAUAUAUUAUGUUUAAGACCUU